UGUCAGACGGAAUUUUAAGGCACAGUACUC
rnacentral:piRNA from 1 species